rnacentral:tmRNA from 1 species
GGGGAUGUUUUGGAUUAGACAGGAUGUUCCGAUUGAGAUAGAUUGCGAGUCCGAGCGCUGUUCUCGGUCAUCAACGAGCAAACAAAUUAAGUGCUAAAAAUAAUGUAGUUGAAGCAGACUUCUCUAGAGCAUAUGCUUUAGCAGCUUAGUCUUCCGACGAAAAAGCCACUCAUAUAGCCCAGCUUGCCGGUUGUAUGGGUCAAUUAUGCAAGACGCAGUACACUGAUGACAAUGGGUGUAUCAAGAUAAUUGUCAAAGGUUUAGAGUUUCCUUCAAAUAAAACCUAGGGCUGAAUUAUCGGGUAGUGAUUUUUCCUGAUUCAGUUGAGCGAAUAAAAUCUACACUCGUAGAAGUUUAUCGAGAUCCAUUUUGGACAGGGGUUCAACUCCCCUCAUCUCCA